GGUUUUUGCUCAAUUUUGAGUCAAAACCGAUAUCUCGAGUUCUAGACGUUCAAUCUUUGAGAUUCUUGGACAGAUGCACUCGGAAUGAAGUUCUGAAUCACUUUCAUGAAGAAAUCGAAGCGAGUGGUGGACGUUUUCACGUUGAUCGGAGCUGCUACCGGUUUCUGGAAAUUUUCCGGCCAAACCGUGGCUUCUAGCGGGUAAUCUUGCAGGUUAGGAGAAUCAGGGCGGUGAUCGUGCGGGUUAGAGUAAUUGUUGUAGUU
rnacentral:lncRNA from 1 species